AGUUUAAUUUUAUUCCCCCAUUACUGUCGUCCACUAUUUUCCCUUCUAUCACGUCUGUUACUUUCUUUUCUUUCUUUUUAUUUUAUUUUAUUUCCUUUCUGCUUCUUCCUUGCACCUUUCUUGUGAUACAAUCUCUAUUUCCCUUUCAUUCUUUUGCUCGUAUUACCUUCUGCUGGAAAUCUGCCUUUCUGUGUUCUACCUUCAGCACUAUUAAUCUUCCGUGCAAUUGAGCGGAAAAUCUGAAGAAGAAUAUGAACAAUCAGAGGAGUUCCGACAGGAUUUGAAAUUGAAGGUUCGAGAGUUGUUGAAAGAGCAGUAAUGGCGUCGGAGAAAAAUGGCGAUGAGGAUAUCAGAAAAAGAAGACGAAGGUCAAGGAUGAAGAAGAGCAAAAGGAGAUGUGGAUAACUAGGGUUACCUUUCUUUCGAUUGAUGCUAUCCUUGGAUUUUGUAUCCCUGUUUGGAGGUUUUUUUAUUAAUGAAUUCAUCGACUUAGGAAAAGAAAAAAAAUACCUUCAAGAGGUCAAAUAACAUUGAGUGUAACAAGUAUAUAUGUAUGCUUGGGCAACCACAAGACUCCACCAAUGUGACAAAUAGAGAUGCUAAAGGCUUCAAUCAAGAGAAAUUGUUUCAGGAUUGUUGGAAACUAGAAAGAUUAAUUUAAUGGAAAAGUUACACUGUUGGUUGUAACUGUCGUAGACAUUGAACAA